CCNUUGAUUCUUCCAAGUAACGUCUGCCCAGUGUUAUAUAAACGGCCGCGAAAGUGCUAAGGUAGCAUAAUAAUUUGUUUUUUUAUUGAAGACUACAAUGGCAUAACGAAGCUUGACUGUCUUAAUAUUUAAAAUUAAAAUUAAUUUAAAAGUGAAAAAUCUUUUAUUUUUAUGAAGGACGAGAAGACCCUAUAGAGUUUUAGUAUAACUACUUUUAUUGGGGCAAUAUAUGAAUAAAUAAAAUCAUAACAUUUAUUUCCUUAAAAAGAAAAUAAAAUAAACUACCUUAGGGAUAACAGCGUAAUCUUAUCUAAGAGACCUAAUCGAAGAUUAGGAUUGCGACCUCGAUGUUGGACUAAGGAAACAAAAAUAUGCAGAAGUAUUUUGUGUGAGCCUGUUCGGCUUUUAAAACCUUACAUGAUCCUGAGUUCAGACCGGAANCUUAC
rnacentral:rRNA from 1 species